AUUGAACGCUGGCGGCAGGCCUAACACAUGCAAGUCGGGCGGAGCGGCGGACGGGUGGGUAAUGCAUAGGAAUCUGCCGGGUGGUGGGGGAUAAAGUCCGGAAACGGGCGAUAAUAGCGCAUAAUAUCAGAUGACCAUAGGUCGGAUUAGCUAGUUGAUGGGGGAAAGGCCGACCAAGGCGACGAUCCGUAACUGGUCUGAGAGGAGGAUCAGUCACACUGGAACUGAGACACGGUCCAGACUCCUACGGGAGGCAGCAGUGGGGAAUAUUGGACAAUGGGCGAAAGCCUGAUCCAGCCAUGCCGCGUGUGUGAAGAAGGUCUUCGGAUUGUAAAGCACUUUAAGUUGGGAGGCGUUACCAACAGAAUAAGCACCGGCUAACUUCGUGCCAGCAGCCGCGGUAAUAC
rnacentral:rRNA from 1 species